rnacentral:misc_RNA from 1 species
GAACUGCGAUAAGUAAUGUGAAUUGCAGAAUUCAGUGAAUCAUCGAAUCUUUGAAUGCACCUUGCGCUCCUUGGUAUUCCUUGGAGCAUGCCUGUUUGAGUAUCAUGAAAUCUUCAAAGUAAAUCUUUUGUUAACUCAAUUGGUUUCUACUUUGGUAUUGGAGGUCUUUGCAGCUUCACACCUGCUCCUCUUUGUUCAUUAGCUGGAUCUCAGUGUUAUGCUUGGUUCCACUCGGCGUGAUAAGUUAUCUAUCGCUGAGGACACUGUAAAAGGUGGCCAAGGUAAAUGCAGAUGAACCGCUUCUAAUAGUCCAUUGACUUGGACAAUACUUUUAUGAUCUGAUCUCAAAUCAGGUAGGACUACCCGCUGAACUUAAGC